rnacentral:rRNA from 1 species
AUUGAACGCUGGCGGCGUGCUUAACACAUGCAAGUCGAACGAAGUGGCGAACGGGUGAGUAAUGCGUAAUCAACCUGCCCUUCAGAGGGGGACAACAGUUGGUAACGACUGCUAAUACCGCAUACUGAAGGAGGGGAUUGCGUCUGAUUAGCUAGUUGGAGGGGGAACGGCCCACCAAGGCGAUGAUCAGUAGCCUGUCUGAGAGGAUGAACGGCCCCAUCGGGACUGGGACACGGCCCAGACUCCUACGGGAUGCGGCAGUGGGGAAACUUCCGCAAUGGACGAAAGUCUGACGGAGCAACGCCGCGGGAGUGAUGACGGCCUUCGGGUUGUAAAGCUCUGUUAAUCGGGACGCGGUACCGGAAUAGAAAGCCACUGCUAACUACGUGCCAGCAGCCGCGGUAAUUC